GGCGGGAGAGGGCAGGCCAUCGUCAUCUUCUCAACCUUGAUUUAUGACAGACUUCUGAAAGUGGAGUUGCUCACGGAGUUUUCAUAGUGACCCAGAAGACAGGUUGGAACAAGGACUGGUGCAGGUAGGAUUGAUGGGCCGCGCUUGGUGACCCGGUGGGAGACAGAGGCCUGGGGAAGAAUGUGGAAUUCCUGUGGGUCCAUCUGAAGAUCCAAGUCAUUCGUGGCCUGGGUUUUAAGCAGUUCACAGUUUCCUGAAGAAGAUAGGAAGAGGCCAGUCCCCACGUCUCAGAAGGAAAACCCCCCAUUGAUCUUGAGUGGAAGGUCCCGGAAGACUUCAGGAGAAGAAAUAUGCGCUAUGUCUUACUGGACAGUAGGAAUCACCUAGGCAAGGACCGCGGACAAGGGCAUUCCAAUCAGCCUCGAAGAAGGAAGGAGUCUUGUCAGGAGGCUGUUGAAGUACCGAGGCCCAGGUGCCAUUCGCAUGUGGACCUCUCAGAUGCCACUAAGGUCUCUUUCAGCUUCAAAGCCAGACAUUCUCGUGACACUGUGCCCAGCCCUAUGAGAGCCUUGGCUCAGCUCAAAGCCGGUUGCCUCCAGCUGUCCAGGUUUGGAAAAGCCUGGAAGGCCUCUUAUCAAGGACAGCUCUAUUCUUGCCGAUUCUUGAGAAGGUACAGUCCAGGGGAUCCUAUGGUGGUGUCUCCUUUCGGGACUGUCUGGCUGGACCCUCACGACUGCUUUGCCACGCGAGGAGGAGCCUAGUCCUGCCUUGCCUCGUUAUCUGGGCACCAUCCGGUUGGUGCUACACAGAUCUGGUGAUGUCACUCUUCAGGUGUUGCUUAUUUACACAACCUCUACUGUUUGAGGCGGAGCCCUGGUGACCGCCGCUGGGGCUUGGAGUAAUUACAGCAUUCUGUGGAGAGGUGGAGCCCUCAUCGCAUUCUAGCCAUCUUCCCCAGAAUUGCCUUUGAUCCGGUUCUUUCCUGGGAAAGUAGCCAUUAGAAGAUGUCUAUCUUUGGUUUCAUGGACACGGGAGAGAGAAAUAAGAAUGACAUUGGCAAGGAGCACUUUCAUGUUCUUAGAACUGGCUUCCUCCCAGUCUGUGCCCGGAGUUCUCAGACCCGGAAGGCCUCAGCCUCUGACCCGUGUUCUCAGGGAACCCCCCUGGAGGCCCGGGGCUGAGAUCCUAUGCCAGGAAGGAGGGAGCCAGGGUGAGGUCCCUUCCCCAGGGUGCAUGCUCUCUAGGUGAUCUUCUUCCCCAAGUCUUUCCAGGACUCCUGGGGGACCCCUCUGAAGUAUCCAUGUUACAAAACAAAUGAAAGCACAUUGAUGAGAAUCCAGGAAUCAGUGAAAGUGAAAAUACUUGUCAUCCAUAACCUACAACCCUCCAAUAAUGAGAACACCCACAAAUUUCCUUGUUGCUAUUAUUGACAGAAGUUCUGGCUAAAGAUAAUUGCUAUAUGCUGUAUGUCCAGUUGAGGUCUUACUUUUUUCUCUUUAGAAAAUUUUUAACAACCAUGAAAUAUUCUAUUAAAUAACAGGUCCAAGUUUAUGUAAUCAAACCAUGAUAUUUAAAUUGUUUCUAAGUUACUUGAU